rnacentral:piRNA from 1 species
UGUGACUGAAUAUGCUAUAACCACCGGAUC